AAAUAACUAAUAAAAAAAAUGCAAAAAAUAAAUCCUAUUCUAUCCUACACUAAUUCUAACAUGCUUCAGUGCUUUACCCAAUGCCUCGGGCCUUCAUCACGAACGUCCUCCGGAUACAAAAUACUUCAGGACAUUCCCCGGUGAAUAAACACAAGUACCUUGGAGCAUUCCUCGGCCAAAUGAAUACACUUCCAAAUAUGACAAAAACAAAACAUUCAACGAACAUUUUCAUCAUUCAAAAAUCAAAAGUCCUAAUUUUGCCUACCCGAGCCUACCGUUUGCCUACCCAACAUGACCUAUCAUGGUACUAUCAUAAUCAGGAACAUCAACGAACCAAAACAACAAUAUUUCAACUUAUUCGAUUAUCAAUUCCCCCAAAUCAUUCCCAAUCACAUUAUUAAUCAAUGUUAACGAAAAUCAAGCAAGCAAAGUUAUAAUCACAACAAUUAAAAUUUCUCAAACACACUAUCAAAAUAUAUCACCAAUCCAACAUGAAUCAUGCAAUCCAUAACAUCAAAACAUCAACUCCAUAAUAAAAUAGUAAUAGAAAGAGAUAGAGUUGAAAAUUUAGACCUCAAAUUUGACGUUUUAUUUCAAUGGAAUUGCUCGACGAAGCGGCACUGGAAUACCUCGAUUUGAACCUCAAAUAUAAACCCCAACUCGAAAUAGAUUUCAACGAGCUUGGAUGGAAUCGAAAGUAAAAUCGGGGUUUGCUUAACUGCUCUCUAUAGUUGUAGCUCCGGCGAGCUUCGAUUACUGAAAACGAAGAAGGAAUACGGCUGUGACGUGUUUUCUGGUGAAUCCGUCGCUGGGACAGUAACCAAACCAUGAAAAAUUAUGUUCCCUUAGCUCCGUGUUACUCUCUUCUCUCUCGAUCUCAACUCUCUUUUCUCGAUCUCCCUGUUUUGGUCCCAAAUUUUCCUUCUAUCAGUCCUUAAUUCUCUAUUUUUUUAUGAACCUUUCGAUCUCUCCGGCCAACCAACUUGAUCUCUCCUCUCACGUCAUCCUCCUGUCAGCUCUCUCUCUCUAUUUGUGUAUUGUGCGAGUAUGGUUGAGUGAUGAUGAAAAAUGGAGGAGGGUGCAUGUAUGACUGUUGCGUGAGAAUGAGUAUCAAUUGUUCUCUGUUUUGUGGUGUAUAUAUUUCUGUGUGUGUUGAGUGAUCUUGAAGAAGACAAAGGGAAAGCAAUGGCGUGUGUUUAUUCUAUUUUUGGUGAGGAUCUAUGGAAUUGUGAGUAUGUGUGUGAAUCGUGAGUGAAGGUCCCCCUUUUUUUUGUCUAGUGAUGGUGUAUAUGUGAAUGAUGUUUUAUUUUUUUUUUGGAGAGCAAAAG
rnacentral:lncRNA from 1 species